rnacentral:rRNA from 1 species
AUUGAACGCUGGCGGCAUGCUUUACACAUGCAAGUCGAACGAGUGGCGAACGGGUGAGUAACGCAUCGGCCCGUACCGAGUAAUUGGGGAUAACUGUCCGACAGGACUGCUAAUACCGCAUAGUUUUCGAGCGGCCGAUGUUUGAUUAGCUGGGUGGGGGGGUAAAGGCCCACCAAGGCGACGAUCGGUAGCGGGUCUGAGAGGAUGAUCAGCCACACUGGAACUGAGACACGGACCAGACUCCUACGGGAGGCAGCAGUGGGGAAGUUUGGACAAGGGGCGAAAGCCUGAUCCAGCCAUGCCGCGUGUGUGAAGAAGGUCUUCGGGUUGUAAAGGACUUUUGUUAGGGAAGCGGUACCUGAAGAAUAAGCACCGGCUAACUACGUGCCAGCAGCCGCGGUAAUUC